GACGAACGCUGGCGGCGUGCUUAACACAUGCAAGUCGAACGGAAAGGCCCUGCUUGCAGGGUACUCGAGUGGCGAACGGGUGAGUAACACGUGGGUGAUCUGCCCUGCACUUCGGGAUAAGCCUGGGAAACUGGGUCUAAUACCGGAUAGGAGCCAUUUUUAGUGUGAUGGUUGGAAAGUUUUUUCGGUGUAGGAUGAGCUCGCGGCCUAUCAGCUUGUUGGUGGGGUAAUGGCCUACCAAGGCGGCGACGGGUAGCCGGCCUGAGAGGGUGGACGGCCACAUUGGGACUGAGAUACGGCCCAGACUCCUACGGGAGGCAGCAGUGGGGAAUAUUGCACAAUGGGCGCAAGCCUGAUGCAGCGACGCCGCGUGGGGGAGGACGGCCUUCGGGUUGUAAAUCCCUUUCGCUAGGGACGAAGCUUUUUGUGACGGUACCUAGAUAAGAAGCACCGGCUAACUACGUG
rnacentral:rRNA from 1 species